ACGACGACCGAGUCUCUCUCCGUCUUCACAGAUCUGUUUGCAUAGAUUUUUGCAGAUGUCAACUUCAAGUGUUAACGCCAGUACAUCAGAUCAAUUGACAUUUUGCAACAGAAAUUGUCUUCAAUGUCG